GGGCGGUUAGCUCAUCUGGUUAGAGCGCGAACUUGACGUGUUCGAGGUGGAAGGUUCGAGUCCUUCACCGCCCACCA
rnacentral:tRNA from 1 species